rnacentral:lncRNA from 1 species
AGCCCAGGGAGCACUGGAGUUUUUGCUGUGCUUCAGAGACCUCUGAAAUUCUAUGGUUAGAGGCAGAUAUGAAAGAGCAGGAUGAAGAGUAUUGAGCUUUGUUCAUUUUCAUAGUGAAGCCACAAGACAAGAAUUUCAACACCCAAUUCUUCGUUGCCUCCAAGGAAUUGUGAAUGGAAAACGGAAGAACUGCUUCUAAAAUGCAGAAUGAUCAUUCCUGAAGGUGGCUUCGCAGAAACAGUGUUUACUGGGAUUUUCUCGGCAAUGACCAAAUCCAAACUGUGAGGAGGACUAUACAAAGUCAUCCUUCAAAAUUCACCAUUCAUCUUUUCCAUUCAUCACUGGUACUUAUCCUGCAUUUUCAGCUAUUUCAUUGUUGAAUUCGGGGUUUUCUGGGUUGUACAAGGAAUGUAGUUAGAAUAGGCUGAGGAUUUUAUCAAGGGUAAGAUUAUUUUGGUAAAAAGCCUUAUGAAUAGCUCUAUAAUUAUUGUUUUAGAAUUCUCAGAAUUUGCAGAGGUUCCUAGAAGCUUCUCAAUAAACUGAAA